rnacentral:rRNA from 1 species
CACGGGUGAGUAACGCGUGGGAACAUACCCUUUCCUGCGGAAUAGCUCCGGGAAACUGGAAUUAAUACCGCAUACGCCCUACGGGGGAAAGAUUUAUCGGGGAAGGAUUGGCCCGCGUUGGAUUAGCUAGUUGGUGGGGUAAAAGACUACCAAGGCGACGAUCCAUAGCUGGUCUGAGAGGAUGAUCAGCCACAUUGGGACUGAGACACGGCCCAAACUCCUACGGGAGGCAGCAGUGGGGAAUAUUGGACAAUGGGCGCAAGCCUGAUCCAGCCAUGCCGCGUGAGUGAUGAAGGCCUUAGGGUUGUAAAGCUCUUUCACCGGAGAAGAUAAUGACGGUAUCCGGAGAAGAAGCCCCGGCUAACUUUUUUGCCAGCAGCCGCGGUAAUACGAAGGGGGCUAGCGUUGUUCGGAAUUACUGGGCGUAAAGCGCACGUAGGCGGAUAUUUAAGUCAGGGGUGAAAUCCCAGAGCUCAACUCUGGAACUGCCUUUGAUACUGGGUAUCUUGAGUAUGGAAGAGGUAAGUGGAAUUCCGAGUGUAGAGGUGAAAUUCGUAGAUAUUCGGAGGAACACCAGUGGCGAAAGCGGCUUACUGGUUCAUUACUGACGCUGAGUGCGAAAGCGUGGGGAGCAACAGGAUUAGAUACCCUGGUAGUCCACGCCGUAAACGAUGAAUGU